rnacentral:rRNA from 1 species
GGGCUCUGACGGUCGAAUUUGUUUGAGGUGUUUCUUACUGGCUAACGGGUGGAUGCAGGCUAAUCAACCUGGCGUUGGGAUGGGGACGAGUUCUCAAAGGAGUGUUAAUACUGAGUGUGAUGCAUUUCUUUCGGAUAGAUGGAUGAAAGAGGGCCUCUAUUUAUAUCCUAGGGCGGUGGUGGGCGCGUUUCUGAUUGUUAGUUGGUGGGGUAACGGGUCACCAAUACUAUGAUCGACUUGCGUGCGUAAAGGAUGAAGGGCGAGUUUGUGACGGACACAGGGCCCACACUC